UCGUUCUUCUCUGGGCGACCCGGUCGCCUCACGCCCUCACCCACCGGUCCACCCUCCGUCCGUCCGCGCACUCGCCCGCCCCCAACCCCCGCCUCCACCUUCCGCUCCAAAUCCCCGCCGCGCCACCAUCUCCUCCGCCCCUAUCAUACGUCCGCCCGUAUCUGAAGAGUCGAGCAUCCAUUCGUCUGUGCAGCAAGAAAGAUCGGAUUCGAGGGCCGAGGACGCACCGCUCCAUACAUCGGUGACCUUCAACGCGGCUCGCCUCCACCCCAACCACUGAGCCUCUCGUCCAACGCAUAGCCCGUCUGCCUCCCUCUACGACGAGAUGCGCACAUCUCCGUCUGCCCCCAUCUCCGAUACUCUUGUGGCAUCCAAAUCUGAAGAGUGUUGGAACUGAUCUACAGAAGGGUUUGAAGGAAACUCAACAAGCGAAGGAUUCCUUUGAGCAACAAUAAUGUCAUUGUAAAGCGCCGCAAUUCAAGGAAGCCAACAACAUUCACUAGCCUUUCAAGCUGAAGGUGCUGCUUGGUGGCCUGAAGAAGAGGAACCACUGCAUGGAGGUUGGUGAUGCCAGAAACAGUGAGAACACCACCAACGAGCUCAUCAGGAGGAUGAAUUUGACUCUUGUAUCCCGGAAGCAUGGCUUCUCAUUCAGCAAUGCCAUUUCACUAUUUUAGCAGCAGCUUAGUCGAGAUGGCAUGACAUCGGGGCUUGUGAGAUGCAAUGAACUUACUAAUGUUGAGAUGCAUUGUUGUACUAUAAUUGUGAGAAUGGUGUAUGCAUGUGUGAAUGGUGCAAAUUGUGUGAUGAAUGUGUGUUUUAUUUUGAUAUGCA